AGCUUUGUGCAGUGGCAAUAUUGUAGCCAAUGAGGUUUCUCUGAGGCCCGAUUAUUGCUAACUGAAAACGUUUCCCAAUACCCUGCCGUGACGACUUGGGAUGCAGUCAGCACUGACAAUUUUUGACAGUCUCUACGGAUA